rnacentral:tmRNA from 1 species
GGGGUCGACUUGGAUUUGACAGCGAGUCUAAUUGAGUUGUAAGCACGUAGAGCGCUGGGAUAUAGCUCUUAAAUCUCAUAUUUCACACUUUUUAAACGGCGAGAAUAACUACGCCUUGGCUGCAUAAUCUGAAUUAUAGUAGGAUUAUCUUAGUCCCUACAAGGUAGGGAGCCGAGAUGUCUCGUGGAAGCCUUGAUUUACGGCGGCCACACCCGAGACACCGAAAAAGUAAAUAUAGGAAGCGCAGGGCCUUGAUGUUCUUCUGAAAUCUAAUUGAGGAUAAGUGUAAGAUUGGUGGUUUUCGGCCGGUCUUACAUCGAAAACCAAGCGAAAAAUAAACGUGUAGAAAGCUUCUGAAUUACUUGUUUGGACGAGGGUUCGAAACCCUCCGACUCCACAU